rnacentral:rRNA from 1 species
CCUACGGGUGGCAGCAGUGGGGAAUAUUGGGCAAUGGUCGCAAGCCUGACCCAGCAACGCCGCGUGAGGGAAGAAGGCCCUCAGUAUGUUAACUCCUUUUAUCCAGGACGAAACAAAUGACGGUACUUGAUGAAUAAGCCACGGCUAACUACGUGCCAGCAGCCGCGAUAAUACGUAGGUGGCAAGCGUUAUCCGGAUUUACUGGGUGUAAAGGGCGUGUAGGCGGGACUGCAAGUCAGAUGUGAAAACCAUGGGCUCAACCCAUGGCCUGCAUUUGAAACUGGAGUUCUUGAGUGUUGGAGAGGCAGGCGGAAUGCGGGGUGUAGCGGUGAAAUGCGUAGAUAUACGGAGGAACACCAGUGGCGAAGGCGGCCUGCUGGACAAUAACUGACGCUGAGGCGCGAAAGCGUGGGGAGCAAACAGGAUUAGAUACCCUUGUAGUC